rnacentral:rRNA from 1 species
GUAUAAUUACUAUUAAUGGCCGCGGUACUUUGACCGUGCUAAGGUAGCGCAAUCAAUUGGCUCUUAAAUGGGGUCAGGAAUGAAUGGAGUUUAACGUGGUUAAGCUGUCUCUCAACUAAUUAAUUGAAGUUACUAUGUAGGUGAAAAAGCCUAUUUUAAGAAAAAGGACGAGAAGACCCUUAGAGUUUUACUUAAUGUGGAGGUAUAAAAGUAUUCAUACUGGUUUUGUUGGGGCAACAUAGGAGCAAUAGUGGAAAUAAUCUCCUAAAUAAUAACACACCGAAACUUAUAAAUUUGGAUAAACUACCUUAGGGAUAACAGCAUAAUUUUAAAAAUAAGUUUGUGACCUCGAUGUUGGACUAGGAAACUUAAAGGCUAGCCGUCUU